CGAGAACCUUUCUGAUAAGGACAAAGAACGCAGAAGCUAGAGAUA
rnacentral:sRNA from 1 species